AUUGAACGCUGGCGGCAGGCUUAACACAUGCAAGUCGAGCGGUAACAGGGGGUGCUUGCACCCCGCUGACGAGCGGCGGACGGGUGAGUAAUGCUUAGGAAUCUGCCCAGUAGUGGGGGAUAGCCCGGGGAAACCCGGAUUAAUACCGCAUACGUCCUACGGGAGAAAGCAGGGGAUCUUCGGACCUUGCGCUACUGGAUGAGCCUAAGUCGGAUUAGCUAGUUGGUGGGGUAAAGGCCUACCAAGGCGACGAUCCGUAGCUGGUCUGAGAGGAUGAUCAGCCACAUCGGGACUGAGACACGGCCCGAACUCCUACGGGAGGCAGCAGUGGGGAAUAUUGGACAAUGGGGGCAACCCUGAUCCAGCCAUGCCGCGUGUGUGAAGAAGGCUUUCGGGUUGUAAAGCACUUUCAGCGAGGAGGAAGGCUCUGAAGUUAAUACCUUCAGGGAUUGACGUUACUCGCAGAAGAAGCACCGGCUAACUCCGUGCCAGCAGCCGCGGUAAUACGGAGGGUGCAAGCGUUAAUCGGAAUUACUGGGCGUAAAGCGCGCGUAGGUGGUUAGGUAAGCGAGAUGUGAAAGCCCCGGGCUUAACCUGGGAACGGCAUUUCGAACUGUCUGACUAGAGUGUGGUAGAGGGUAGUGGAAUUUCCUGUGUAGCGGUGAAAUGCGUAGAUAUAGGAAGGAACACCAGUGGCGAAGGCGGCUACCUGGACCAACACUGACACUGAGGUGCGAAAGCGUGGGGAGCAAACA
rnacentral:rRNA from 1 species